rnacentral:rRNA from 1 species
UACGAAGGGUGCGAGCGUUGUCCGGAAUUAUUGGGCGUAAAGAGCUUGUAGGCGGUUUGUCGCGUCUGCCGUGAAAAUUCGAGGCUCAACCUCGAACUUGCGGUGGGUACGGGCAGACUAGAGUGUGGUAGGGGAGACUGGAAUUCCUGGUGUAGCGGUGAAAUGCGCAGAUAUCAGGAGGAACACCGAUGGCGAAGGCAGGUCUCUGGGCCACUACUGACGCUGAGAAGCGAAAGCAUGGGGAGCGAACAGG